rnacentral:rRNA from 1 species
CCUACGGGGGGCAGCAGUGAGGAAUAUUGGUCAAUGGCCGAGAGGCUGAACCAGCCAAGUCGCGUGAGGGAAGAAUGUCCUAUGGAUUGUAAACCUCUUUUGUCCGGGAGCAAAGUCAUCCACGUGUGGGUGUUGGAGAGUACCUGAAGAAAAAGCAUCGGCUAACUCCGUGCCAGCAGCCGCGGUAAUACGGAGGAUGCGAGCGUUAUCCGGAUUUAUUGGGUUUAAAGGGUGCGUAGGCGGGUUAUCAAGUCAGCGAUAAAAUCGGGGAGCUCAACUCCAUCCCGCCGUUGAAACUGAUGAUCUUGAGUGGACGACAAGUAGGCGGAAUUCGUGGUGUAGCGGUGAAAUGCAUAGAUAUCACGCAGAACUCCGAUUGCGAAGGCAGCAUGCCGGCGUCCGACUGACGCUGAGGCACGAAGGUGCGGGUAUCGAACAGGAUUAGAUACCCCUGUAGUC